AGGGGAACGAAACAGAGCCUUCUUCUGUGUUUGAAAAUGCUAGUGACACUAAAGGGGGCUGGUAAGCUUGAAUCCCACAAGUUUUUUUUUAUUGCAAAUAAGAAGAAGUAACAACAGUAGCAAGAAUGUUGUUCUAAUUUUAUUUCAAGGUUUCCUCCCAAGAAAUUUAAGAAGAGGAUUUCUAGAAUUUCUUCAAGAGAUUGAAUCGAGUUGAGCGCGUUGAAGAUUAUUGCAUGGUGUGGAAGGUUAGAGUAAGAUCCUACUCACUUUGGGGCUGACGGUGUGUGCUAGGCAUCUUCUCCAUCUUUCAGUUGCUUUUGGUGAGACCCAAUACUACUUCCGUGGGUUCAUUGCUAUUUUAGUACUUCUUUUGGAUGAGCCGGGGAUUUAUGUCUCGUGUACUUUCUUAGAGGUUCCAGGCACAGUUGUGGGAGGUCUAUGGGUGUUCAUGGGAACUAUCAUUUUAUCUUUUAUGUUAUGUUGUUAUUUUUAUUUCCGCUACUUAUGUAUUUUGGCCAUUGGCUCAACUUAUGUUUUGAAACUAGAAGGAUGCUUUGUCAUCGAUACUUAUUAUUUUUGGCAAAGUUUUAUUUUGAUUUAUCGAUAUGAGAGUUGGUAGCUAAAACAGGUGGUUCGCCCGGUGGAAGUUAAAGGCACUGGGUGCCAGUUGCGCUAGCCUUUUGGGGGCGUAACAACAACGUUGUUAGUUUUGAAACAUUUAACAGAUAGGAAAUCGCACGUUGGGAUGCAAUGCACCUAAACAGUUAAACGCUUC